UGUUGUAGCAGCAGAGUACACCAUGACUAUGGUACCCUGAUCGACACUGAAAGGCAGUCUGAGCACACUCAGCUGACUCUUAACAGUGAAUAACAAAACUGGUGAUUUAAGAGCGGACAUCUUUGAGGGCUAGCAGUUAGCCUACUUAGCCAAUCACGGACUGUGUGCUUUGCGGCAUAUACGUCUGCAGGCUGCCACCUGCCAUGCACGUCAAGUCGGGCAUGCGACCGCAUGUAAAUCACAAAAAAAAAGUUGCCUUCAAAAUAAAAGUAUUUCAAUAAAA